GAAAGAGCAUUACUCAAGCUUAUUCUUUGCAAUCCUCCUCAACUGCUAAGAAUCAUGACUUCCAGGGACUCGUCCCAGUGAGGGUGAAGAAAUUCACCGAGUCUUUUCAUUUCGGUGUGACGAAGACUUCUCCAAAGUCACUGAAGUUAGAUUCUCUCUUGUUGAUGGAACAGGUGGUAUCGAUUAUAAAAGACGGGUGAAUGAAAGUUUUGACGCUAGAGAAAUGGAGUCAGUGCAGUGAUUCUACUAUCUCCUGGGUCUUCUUCUCUCACCUUUCUUGGUUUUUGUAUCAAGUUAUUUUCACAAGUAUAUAGGUCUCUGGCCCUCUUUGCUGCUGGUUGCUCCCUGAAUGCUGAAGAACUCGCUAUCUCGAAACUCGGUUUGCCUCGGUGAGUCUCUAGAGAAGCGUGGUAUCAGUCACCUCUUCCCGUCCGGGUUAAAAGACUUUUCCUUUCAAUCUGAAAACUGUUAAAGACUUAUCCUUUAUCUGUAUUGACAUACUGUGUUUUGUGUUGUCUGAAGAGGGAUGAGAUAGUUCCUGCACUGCAAAAACGAGACAUCAUAGCUCGUGCAAAGACAUGACUAGAAAGAAUUUAGCUUUAUGUAUCAUCAAACUCCUUCUGAACAAGCUGUAGACUACUCUGCUUUCAGGUUCUUAUGAUUUUACUCAUGUCUGAUGUAUAAGACAGAAUUCAGAAACGAGGAGCAGAAGAGCGAGUAUCAUUUUGUUGUUUGCUCAACUUU